AUGUCGUCCUCCUCCUCCAGCACCGUCCAGGCUUCCCUUGGGCAGGUCGCAGAAAAACUCACCCGCACCAACUAUGUCCUAUGGCGUGCGCAGGUGAUGCCGCAGCUGAGAGGAGCUGGGCUGUUUGGCUACGCCGACGGCACCAUGCCAGAACCUGUCAAGAUCCUCGUCACGAAGGACAAAGAUGGGAAAGAAGAGCAGACGAUGAACCCUCUCCAUCCGAUCUGGUUCAGAGAGGGGAAGCAGGUACUCAGAUACUUGCUCAAUACUCUCACCAAGGAGGUUCUCGUGCAGGUUACCUCCAUCGCCACGCCGCACGAGCUCUGGGCAGCUCUCGCCCACAUGUUCUUGUCACAGUCCCGAGCCCGCGUCAACAACAUCCGGGUCGCUCUCUCCACGGCGCAGAAGGGAACGCAGUCUGUCGCCGCCUACUUCGCCCAGAUGAGAGCGCUAACUGAUGAGCUUGCAGCCGCCGGGAAGCCCAUCGACGACGAUGAGCUUGUCUCCUACAUCACCGUCGGCCUCGACAUGGAGUACCAACCCCUCGUCUCCGCCAACGACACGCGCACCGACACCAUCAGCAUCGACGAUCUCUACGCUCAGAUGAGCAACUUUGAUCAGCGCCUCUCCCUCUACAACAACAACUCGGGCGGGGGCUUCAAGUCAUCUGCUAAUGUUGCCGCUCGUGGCGAUGCCAAAUCUGUGGCAAGUUAG
rnacentral:rRNA from 1 species